rnacentral:misc_RNA from 1 species
GAUGAAGAACGCAGCGAAAUGCGAUACUUGGUGUGAAUUGCAGAAUCCCGUGAACCAUCGAGUCUUUGAACGCAAGUUGCGCCCGAAGCCACUAGGCCGAGGGCACGCCUGCCUGGGCGUCACACGUCGUUGCCCCCCCCCCAUCUACUCCUUCGGGAUUGCGGGGGGCGGAUGAUGGCCUCCCGUGCGCCUAGCCGCGCGGUUGGCAUAAAUACCAAGUCCUCGGCGACGCACGCCACGACAAUCGGUGGUUGCGAAACCUCGGUUGACCGUCGUGUGCGUUCGUCGCGCAUCGAGGGCUCGAAAAAAUGCUCGGCUCCGGCUCGGCUUUCAACGCGACCCCAGAUCAGGCGGGGAUACCCGCUGAAUUUAAGCAUAUCAAUAAGCGGAGGA